rnacentral:rRNA from 1 species
UACGAAGGGGGCUAGCGUUGCUCGGAAUCACUGGGCGUAAAGCGCACGUAGGCGGCUUGUUAAGUCAGGGGUGAAAUCCUGGAGCUCAACUCCAGAACUGCCUUUGAUACUGAGGAUCUUGAGUUCGGGAGAGGUGAGUGGAACUGCGAGUGUAGAGGUGAAAUUCGUAGAUAUUCGCAAGAACACCAGUGGCGAAGUCGGCUCACUGGCCCGAUACUGACGCUGAGGCACGAAAGCGUGGGGAGCAAACAGG